CGUCGUCCAAUGGGAGGGCGCUCUUCCCCAGGUCUGCGGGGUCUGCAGGGGGUUGUGGUUUAGGCCCUGACUGGUCUUCGGGCGCUGUUUCUGGAGUAGAGCAAGGCGCGCAUUCCCCUGUUGAUUUGGCGUCCGCGAGGCAUCUUGUCCGGAAGUCAUUCCUUCAUUCAAGAACUGUAUGAAGGGCCUGUGUGGGACAGGCACUGCAUCAGGUGCUGGUGAUCCAGGAACAAACAAAGCUGAUAAAAUUUGCUGCUCAAAUGGAGAUGGGUGUGGGGUAAUUAUUGGAGAUGGACAACAAAUUAAACAAGAUAUGCACUCUUUGUGAAA